rnacentral:misc_RNA from 1 species
GGACUUUGGGAUGUCGUGAGCAAUGCUGAGGUUAUAAGCAUAAUCAGGGACACAGUGAAAGAACCUGGAAUGUGCUCCAAGAGAUUGGCAACAGAAGCUGUAGAGAGAGGUAGCAAAGAUAAUAUUACAGUGGUUGUUGUCUUCUUGCGCCCAGUAUCUACUGCAGAGAGAAUUUACUAGGUCAAAUGCAAAUGCAAGUUGUAGGAGUUGUAAAUUGAUGGAGAAAACGGAGUCAAACUGGAUGAGACUCAUUCUUGUUUCAUUCAUGUAAUUUUUACUUAUUCUUAUGAUCAUUACUUUUAGGCAUUCAUGCUACG